CAGAAGUCACGAGAUGCAGGCCAGUCAAGUUUUGUUGAAGAGAGUGUUGGAGAUCAGGAGCAUGGACUGUGAUUAAGAGUCCACUGUGAUAGACAGGAAACCAGAGGGAAGCCAGCUGUCAUAUAAUGAAGAUCUUUAAUCAGCCCUAUGAAGAAGUUCACCUGGUGAAUUGAGUUCUUCUACCAACAGCAGUUUUCAGGGUUUGAAGAGAUAACUAUGGUAGAAAGCAACGGAAACUGAUGAAUAUGCAGAGCAACUGGAACUCUCAUACAUUGCUGGUGGGGAUGCAAAAUGGUGCAACUGCUCAAGAUGACAAAGAAGAACAUCAAACCAAAAGCACAAGA